GACAGUACUGACGCUGAGAUGCGAAAGCGUGGGGAGCAAACAGGAUUAGAUACCUGGUAGUCCACGCUGUAAACGAUGUCGAUUUGGAGUUUGUUGCCUAGAGUGAUGGGCUCCGAAGCUAACGCGAUAAAUCGACCGCUGGGGAGUACGGCCGCAAGGUUAAAACUCAAAUGAAUUGACGGGGGCCCGCACAGCGGUGGAGCAUGUGGUUUAAUUCGAUGCAACGCGAAGAACCUUACCUGGUCUUGACAUCCAUAGAAUUCUGCAGAGAUGUGGGAGUGCCUUCGGGAACUAUGAGACAGGUGCUGCAUGGCUGUCGUCAGCUCGUGUUGUGAAAUGUUGGGUUAAGUCCCGCAACGAGCGCAACCCUUAUUCUUUGUUGCCAGCGAUUUGGUCGGGAACUCAAAGGAGACUGCCGUUGAUAAAGCGGAGGAAGGUGGGGACGACGUCAAGUCAUCAUGGCCCUUACGACCAGGGCUACACACGUGCUACAAUGGCGUAUACAAAGGGAAGCGAAGGUGCGAGCUGGAGCGGAUCUCAUAAAGUACGUCUAAGUUCGGAUUGGAGUCUGCAACUCGACUCCAUGAAGUCGGAAUCGCUAGUAAUCGUAGAUCAGAAUGCUACGGUGAAUACGUUCCCGGGCCUUGUACACACCGCCCGUCACACCAUGGGAGUGGGUUGCACCAGAAGUAGAUAGCUUAACCGCGAGGGGGGCGUUUACCACGGUGUGAUUCAUGACUGGGGUGAAGUCGUAACAAGGUAACCA
rnacentral:rRNA from 1 species